AGUGAACGCUGGCGGUAGGCCUAACACAUGCAAGUCGAACGGCAGCACAGUAAGAGCUUGCUCUUACGGGUGGCGAGUGGCGGACGGGUGAGGAAUAUAUCGGAAUCUACUUUUUCGUGGGGGAUAACGUAGGGAAACUUACGCUAAUACCGCAUACGACCUACGGGGGAAAGCAGGGGAUCUUCGGACCUUGCGCGAUUGAAUGAGCCGAUGUCGGAUUAGCUAGUUGGCGGGGUAAAGGCCCACUAAGGCGACGAUCCGUAGCUGGUGUGAGAGGAUGAUCAGCCACACUGGAGCUGAGACACGGUCCAGACUCCUACGGGAGGCAGCAGUGGGGAAUAUUGGCCAAUGGGCGCAAGCCUGAUCCAGCCAUACCGCGUGGGUGAAGAAGGCCUUCGGGUUGUAAAGCCCUUUUGUUGGGAAAGAAAAGCAGCAGGUUAAUACCCCGCUGUUCUGACGGUACCCAAAGAAUAAGCACCGGCUAACUUCGUG
rnacentral:rRNA from 1 species